GGGAAUAUAGCUUAGUAGUAGAGCAUUUGUCUAGUACAUAAGAAGGCUUUGGGUUCAAUCUCCAGUACUGCCA
rnacentral:tRNA from 1 species